rnacentral:SRP_RNA from 1 species
GCCAGGCGUGAUGGCACACGCUUGUGAUCCCAGCUACUGAGGAGGCUGAGGCAAGAGAAUCGCUUGAACCCGGGAGACGGAGUUUGCAGUGAGCUGAGAUUGCACCACUGCACUCCAACCUGGGUGACAAAGCGAGAUCUUGUCUCAA